GACGAACGCUGGCGGCGUGUCUAAUACAUGCAAGUAGAACGCUGAAGGAGGAGCUUGCUUCUCUGGAUGAGUUGCGAACGGGUGAGUAACGCGUAGGUAACCUGCCUGGUAGCGGGGGAUAACUAUUGGAAACGAUAGCUAAUACCGCAUAAUAGUAGAUGUUGCAUGACAUUUGCCUAAAAGGUGCAAUUGCAUCACUACCAGAUGGACCUGCGUUGUAUUAGCUAGUUGGUGGGGUAACGGCUCACCAAGGCGACGAUACAUAGCCGACCUGAGAGGGUGAUCGGCCACACUGGGACUGAGACACGGCCCAGACUCCUACGGGAGGCAGCAGUAGGGAAUCUUCGGCAAUGGACGGAAGUCUGACCGAGCAACGCCGCGUGAGUGAAGAAGGUUUUCGGAUCGUAAAGCUCUGUUGUAAGAGAAGAACGAGUGUGAGAGUGGAAAGUUCACACUGUGACGGUAUCUUACCAGAAAGGGACGGCUAACUACGUG
rnacentral:rRNA from 1 species